rnacentral:rRNA from 1 species
UGGGGAAUAUUUGACAAUGGGCGAAAGCCUGAUCCAGCCAUGCCGCGUGUGUGAAGAAGGUCUUCGGAUUGUAAAGCACUUUAAGUUGGGCGGAAGGGCAGUAAGCGAAUACCUUGCUGUUUUGACGUUACCGACAGAAUAAGCACCGGCUACCUCUGUGCCAGCAGCCGCGGUAAUACAGAGGGUGCAAGCGUUAAUCGGAAUUACUGGGCGUAAAGCGCGCGUAGGUGGUUCGUUAAGUUGAAUGUGAAAGCCCCGGGCUCAACCUGCGAACUGCAUCCAAAACUGGCGAGCUAGAGUAGGGCAGAGGGUGGUGGAAUUUCCUGUGUAGCGGUGAAAUGCGUAGAUAUAGGAAGGAACGCCAGUGGCGAAGGCGACCACCUGGGCUCAUACUGACACUGAGGUGCGAAAGCGUGGGGAGCAAACAGG